UGUGGGAGCAGAAGCAGUAUAAGAUCGUCGCUUCGGGCUGCUAUGCAAUGCUUAGCCACCUCGCUCACCUGCACCAUUCCUGAGCAAUGAAGAACCAAGGCGCUCCGUUCCCAUCAAGGCCUUCGCCUUCAGGAGGGCUCCCGGACAGCUGUGAGGAGCGCGGCGCACCUGGUCGACCAUUGGAUCAGUGCAGUUCGGUUCAUGGUAGAAUGCUCCUAGAGUUUUGAUCUCCUCUGCGCCGCUACCGUGAAUAUCUCCAGAUCAUAGCAAUCUAUUUACUGAAGUCAGUCCCAGCAGAUUUGAGGUAAAUCGUAGAAUGGACGUGUUCUAAAAAAAGAGAAGGUUGAAUGGCAUAGUAGUCCUAGAAAUAAAGAGUUCGAGAUUUUUCGGGUAACAUGAGGUAAUAUAUCUCUGCAUAAUGAAUUGGAUUUUGAGAAAUGGAGGUGAAGGCCAUGUUCUGGCAGGUACUUCUUUAUCUUUACAUACAUUUCUUGUGCAGUAUUUCUUAUACAAAAUGUUCAGAGCCGACAAAAACAUAGAGGGCUAUCCAUCUUUAGGAGAAAAAAACUAUUUCAUGAUUGGCUCUACAUGCAUGUAUAUUUUUACCGGGAUAUUCUAAUUUUGACUAGAAAUUCAAUGCAUCUUCGUGUCUUAAUGUAUAAGUUUUGAGUAACAACGGCCGGCCUGGGAGCCGGAGUUUGUCGUUAACUGUUGUAAGCAUAUUGGCUAAUUCUAAUGUAGUGGUUUCUAAAAAAAAGUGAAUGGGUGUCGAGUCUAUUCUUCAUAUCAUUGCGGACAAGUGAUACAUUAGCAUGAGCACCAGAUUUAUAGAUUUCGAAUAUUCGAUCUUUUUUCGUUAAAACAAAAUUUACUGGAAAUCAGUUCAUCAGUACAAAAUAAUGACACUGCCAUUAGGAAUUAGGAAUAUGAAAGUGGAAUGUACUGGCUGGUCAUUGGGCCA